rnacentral:rRNA from 1 species
UACAGAGGGUGCGAGCGUUAAUCGGAAUUACUGGGCGUAAGGCGCGCGUAGGCGGCUAUGCAAGUCGAGUGUGAAAAUCCCCGGGCUCAACCUGGGAACUGCAUUCGAGACUGCAUUGCUUGAGUAUGGGAGAGGGAGGCGGAAUUUCAGGUGUAGCGGUGAAAUGCGUAGAUAUCAGGAGGAACACCAGCGGCGAAGGCGGCGCUCUGGGCCGGAACUGACGCUGAGGAGCGAAAGCUAGGGGAGCAAACGGG